rnacentral:rRNA from 1 species
GCGUGAAUGAAGAAGGCCUUAGGGUUGUAAAGUUCUUUCACCUGUGAAGAUAAUGACGGUAGCAGGAGAAGAAGCCCCGGCUAACUCCGUGCCAGCAGCCGCGGUAAGACGGAGGGGGCUAGCGUUGUUCGGAAUGACUGGGCGUAAAGGGCGCGUAGGCGGUUUUUUAAGUGAGGCGUGAAAGCCCUGGGCUUAACCCAGGAAUUGCGCUUCAGACUGGAAAACUGGAGUACGAGAGAGGAAAGUGGAAUUCCUAGUGUAGAGGUGAAAUUCGU